UACGUAGGGGGCAAGCGUUGUCCGGAAUUAUUGGGCGUAAAGCGCGCGCAGGCGGUCCUUUAAGUCUGAUGUGAAAUCUUGCGGCUCAACCGCAAGCGGUCAUUGGAAACUGGGGGACUUGAGUACAGAAGAGGAGAGUGGAAUUCCAUGUGUAGCGGUGAAAUGCGUAGAUAUAUGGAGGAACACCAGUGGCGAAGGCGACUCUCUGGUCUGUAACUGACGCUGAGGCGCGAAAGCGUGGGGAGCAAACAGG
rnacentral:rRNA from 1 species